rnacentral:tRNA from 1 species
UGCUUUAUAGUGUAACAAAACAUAUUGUAUUUUCAUUACAAAGCUGAAAACUUUUUCUAAAGCUU